rnacentral:piRNA from 1 species
UGCCAGGAUCCCAGAUCCAGUUCACGCCUGUU